UCGAGGGGCAGCAUUUCAGUUUGCUUGCAAACUGGAGAUGGCGACCGGCGCACGGGUGAGUAACACGUAUCCAACCUGCCGAUAACUCGGGGAUAGCCUUUCGAAAGAAAGAUUAAUACCCGAUGGCAUAAUAAAACCGCAUGGUUUUUUUAUUAAAGAAUUUCGGUUAUCGAUGGGGAUGCGUUCCAUUAGGCAGUUGGUGAGGUAACGGCUCACCAAACCUUCGAUGGAUAGGGGUUCUGAGAGGAAGGUCCCCCACAUUGGAACUGAGACACGGUCCAAACUCCUACGGGAGGCAGCAGUGAGGAAUAUUGGUCAAUGGGCGCAGGCCUGAACCAGCCAAGUAGCGUGAAGGAUGACUGCCCUAUGGGUUGUAAACUUCUUUUAUAUGGGAAUAAAGUUUUCCACGUGUGGAAUUUUGUAUGUACCAUAUGAAUAAGGAUCGGCUAACUCCGUGCCAGCAGCCGCGGUAAUACGGAGGAUCCGAGCGUUAUCCGGAUUUAUUGGGUUUAAAGGGAGCGUAGGUGGACAGUUAAGUCAGUUGUGAAAGUUUGCGGCUCAACCGUAAAAUUGCAGUUGAUACUGGCUGUCUUGAGUACAGUAGAGGUGGGCGGAAUUCGUGGUGUAGCGGUGAAAUGCUUAGAUAUCACGAAGAACUCCGAUUGCGAAGGCAGCUCACUGGACUGCAACUGACACUGAUGCUCGAAAGUGUGGGUAUCAAACAGGAUUAGAUACCCUGGUAGUCCACACAGUAAACGAUGAAUACUCGCUGUUUGCGAUAUACAGUAAGCGGCCAAGCGAAAGCAUUAAGUAUUCCACCUGGGGAGUACGCCGGCAACGGUGAAACUCAAAGGAAUUGACGGGGGCCCNGCACAAGCGGAGGAACAUGUGGUUUAAUUCGAUGAUACGCGAGGAACCUUACCCGGGCUUAAAUUGCAUUUGAAUAUAUUGGAAACAGUAUAGCCGUAAGGCAAAUGUGAAGGUGCUGCAUGGUUGUCGUCAGCUCGUGCCGUGAGGUGUCGGCUUAAGUGCCAUAACGAGCGCAACCCUUAUCUUUAGUUACUAACAGGUCAUGCUGAGGACUCUAGAGAGACUGCCGUCGUAAGAUGUGAGGAAGGUGGGGAUGACGUCAAAUCAGCACGGCCCUUACGUCCGGGGCUACACACGUGUUACAAUGGGGGGUACAGAAGGCAGCUACCUGGUGACAGGAUGCUAAUCCCAAAAGCCUCUCUCAGUUCGGAUCGAAGUCUGCAACCCGACUUCGUGAAGCUGGAUUCGCUAGUAAUCGCGCAUCAGCCAUGGCGCGGUGAAUACGUUCCCGGGCCUUGUACACACCGCCCGUCAAGCCAUGAAAGCCGGGGGUACCUGAAGUACGUAACCGCAAGGAG
rnacentral:rRNA from 1 species